GGGCUUGUCCAGUGGAGAGGCUCGUGCACGCUCCUACUGACAGCAGCCUCUUUCCCUGGCAUCAG
ensembl:miRNA Mir6947 microRNA 6947